AUUGAAGGUUGAAUGCUAUUAUUAAAAAUUAAUUACAUUAUUAAGUAUUAAAAAUAGAAAUCAGCGAAAUUUAAAAAUACAAAUUAUAUACUAACAUUAUUAACAAUUAAAUUUUAUGCUUUAAAAUAUUAAAUUACAGUAAUAUUUAUCAUUAAUUCGUCUAUUAUUAUAUUAUAUACAUACAGAACUUACAAAUAUGAUUGAAAAAACGCAAAACUUUGUAUGAACUGAUACUUUAUUAGCUUCGGAGAAGAUAUAGGUUAAUGCAGAUAUGUAUAAAGUUUUAACGAAGAUCUGUUAACAAACUGCAAAGUUUCGUGUUCUGAAACGUUUUUCGACAGAAUAUUUAUAUCUUACGUACCAUUUUUUAAGAUAUAUGUAUGAAGAAGACGCAGAAGCUUGUGAUCAGAUUCGAUGACCGAAUUCAAACUGUUAAAUAAUGGCUGAAAAGCAUUUUGGCGCGAUAUAUCGCCAUCUUUAGUCAAAUCAUGACAUUAAAAUUAAAAAAUUUUUUUAAAUAUUUGGAUUAUGUUUACAUCUUUUCCUGAUCUUUUUCCUUAAAUAACUUCAAAAAUCAGCUUCUAUUCAAAAUCAAAUUCUGUUACUGUGAUACAAUAAAUUUUUGUUAUUAAUCAUAUUUUACGCUUACUAUUAUAAAUGGCAUUUUACUUUAAUUUUUAAAAUUUUUGUUCCAAUUUAAUUUAAUAUAAAUAACAGAAUUUUUAUGAUUAGAUUUAAAUCAUUUUCUAUUUUGAUCUAGUAUGGUGGAUAUCAUGUAUUACUUAUCCUUAUUAUCAAUAUUAUUCUAUCAAGUAACUUUAAAAGAAGGGAAUGAAACAUAACCUAGAAAGUAUUACAUGAAUAUGAGAUAGAAAGUAUAUAUAACAAGCUAUAUCUAUGAUGUUCUCCACUUUCUUAUCUCUGCGUAAGACAUGAUAAAAUGAGGUAUAAAAACAUGAAAUGAAUUGUUAAAAAUUCAUGUAUUGUUAGUGGAAAUAAUUAGAUGAAUGUACAAAUAUCAUAUGUAAUUAGGAAGAUAAUAAAAUGGAACAAAAUGUAAUGAUAAUAAAUACUCAAAAUGGACAAAUAAGAAGAAAAAAAGUGAAACCUUGGUUCAAUGAACAAAAUGUAUACAUAACUCAAGGUCUACCAUUAUCCCAUCUGUUAUCUUAUAACAAAUAUCAAACCAACAUAGGUCUAGAAAAUUUUUUAGAUAAUACAUCUACAAACAUUCAGUGGUGAAAGGAUACAUCUAUUAUGGGUUUAGUUCCAAUACGUGUUUAUCAACAUGAUGCAAUACCUUCAAUGAAUAACUCAUUCAGUAGUAAUAAAUAGCAAUAUUUAUUGUGCAUAUCAUUUUCUUAUGCAAUGACUUUAUGAACUCCUACUUCUGUUACCCUAUUAGAUCUACCACUAAACGUUGAAUUAUUCAACUCAUUACGACAAACAGAAUUAGAUAUAGAGCAGUAUGUACUGUCUAAAGAGGUGAAACAAUCGAGAACUGUAAAAGAAUAUAAGAAAAACUUUAAAACGUACAAAACAUCCUGAGCCAUGGAAAAUGAAUAUAAAAAAAAUGCUAGACUAAGAAGCAAAGAAUAUAUUGGAGUUGGAGGUAAACCAACUCAAUUCUAGAGAGGCUUUAAGCAUAAAGAAAAAUGAAAUUCAUAUCAAAAGCCUGUAAUUCACAGGGAAAAUAGUACCAGCAAAAACCAUGGGACCUUCUUGAAAAUGCUGCAUGUGUUGCGCUGACAAAAUAAACGAAGCUGCUCGGAGUUAUAGCAGAAGUUAUAGUUAAUAACAAUAACAAAGUUGAAGUAACAACAACAGAGUCGAAAUAUACUUAUAUAAUAUAACGGAUGCCUAGUGGAGUUAUGGAACCAGACCAAAGAGGACAAUUUAAAUCAAAAACAAAAAAAUGUGAACAGAAAAAUCAACAGGUACGAUGGAUUAUACAGGAAAGAAGUAUCUAGAUUCUAAGCUAAGUAUAGCUGCUAUGCAUAAACUUUAUGUACUAAAGUGUAAAAGAGAUAGUAUUCCAGAAAGCGACAUAGUUAAAAAAGCUAUUAUAGAGAAAUGUUUAAGUCAGAAUUUAAUCUUGGUUUUAAACAAGUGAAGUUUAAAGUGAACGUUUGACUACCAAAUAUUAUUAACCACUAAAUUAGAAUUAGAAUAAGUAAUUAAUUUCUAUACUUAUACGUACAGAAUCAAAUUUUGAGAUUAUUUUUAAAUAUUCAUAAAUAUUUUAUAUUUUAGGAUUAGUACCGUGCCCUUUUAAUAUUAUUAGUACAAAGAAUGACAUAUCUUAUAUAAAUAUAUUAAAGAAUAUUAAAAACUGUUUAAAAUUUUUAUGUUUAUUCUGGCAUCUCAAUAUUUACAAUAAUAUUUAAUAUGUUAUUUUUAAAAUAUUAUAUAAUAUGAUAUAAUGUUAUAAUUUGUAUUAUAAUAUCAAAAAUUAUAUUUUGUACCAUACUUUCUGUAGUAUUCAUAACACAUGUCACUACGAACUUUCAUUCAAGCAGAAAACGUUUGCAUUCUUAUUUCAUUUAUGCUAAAAGGAUAAGCGUAAAAAUGUUAUUAAAUACAAGACAUAUUUAUAUACACUUUAUACACUUCAAUUACAAAAUAUGCUACUAUGAAAAAAUAACAGAUCUAUUACUUUCAAGCGCUUGGCUUUAAAUAUACAACAAUAAUUUUAACAUUUACCAAUUUAAAAGAAUUAUGUACAAUAUAUACAAAGUAUUUUUCAAAAAUUACGUUACAUAUUUCUUAUAAAACGCGAUGACGAUAAAAGUACAAAUGAAAAUGUACUUACUAGAUGCAAAACGUCAUUACUAUGAUUUACUUUCUUUUCUAUGACAUUAAGGAUUACUAGAAUACUUUCCUUGUUUCUUAGUUUCUUCAUCAACUACAUCUAUUUCUUUACCGUUCAAUCAAUCUAAUUUUUCUCUGAAAGUGAACUAACUUCUUUACAUCUCU